AGCAGCCGCGGUAAUUCCAGCUCCAAUAGCGUAUAUUAAAGUUGUUGCAGUUAAAAAGCUCGUAGUUGAAUUUCGGGGUUAGUAGGUUGGUCAUGCCUCUGGUAUGUACUGGUCUCACUGAUUCCUCCUUCCUGAUGAGCCGUAAUGCCAUUAAUUUGGUGUUGCGGGGAAUUUGGACUGUUACUUUGAAAAAAUUAGAGUGUUUAAAGCAAGCUAACGCUUGAAUACAUUAGCAUGGAAUAAUGAAAUAGGACGUUCGAUCCUAUUUUGUUGGUUUCUAGGAUUGACGUGAUGAUUAAUAGGGAUAGUUGGGGGCAUUAGUAUUCAAUUGUCAGAGGUGAAAUUCUUGGAUUUAUUGAAGACUAACUACUGCGAAAGCAUUUGCCAAGGAUGUUUUCAUUAAUCAAGAACGAAAGUUAGGGGAUCGAAGACGAUCAGAUACCGUCGUAGUCUUAACCAUAAACUAUGCCGACUAGGGAUCGGAUGAUGUUAAUUUUUAAUGA
rnacentral:rRNA from 1 species